AAGUGAUUUCAGCUCUUGUAGUAUUUGUCCAGCAGGUUUCCCGUCGCGCAGGAAGCCUAA
rnacentral:snRNA from 1 species